CCUUCGAUAGCUCAGUUGGUUCAGCGGAGGACUGUUGAUCCUUAGGUUGUUGGUUCAAAUCCGGCUCGAAGGA